GUGACGGUAGCUCAGUGGUAGAGCUCUCGCUUCGUAGGCGGGAAGAGCUGGGUUCAAUUACCAGCUGCUUACC
rnacentral:tRNA from 1 species